AUGUUGCAUUGCGUCUGGCGGAUCUUGCGUGGAGAGGGCGGUUUGUGGUUGCCAAAUACUUGCGGGGUGCGCCCCUCUUAGACAUGCUCGCGCGUAGCUGGGUCUCAAUUCUGGAAAUCUAUCCAGAAGAUUAAGCAUGAGAUCCGGCUCGGUGCCACCUUCUCGGUUGGGAAUGGGAAUGACACUCAAUUCUGGCUCGAUCAUUUGUUGGGUGAUGAGCCACUACGCAUUGGUUUCCCUAGCCUUUUUGCUAUUUGUUCGGACCCGUAUAUUCUGGUUUCCGUGGCGUGGCCCAGUGGAAUAUCGCGUUCUGCCGAGCAUUUGGCCAGGAGGAGGCUCUGGAAUGGGACAGACUGA
rnacentral:rRNA from 1 species